CUGCUACUCUGCAAACACAAGAAUUUCUGUUAGCUACUAGUUUCUUACUCUUUGGAGCGCCGUUUCAGUUUCAGUUUUUCACCAAGUUGUUUCUUAUCCGCUACCCUUCCACAUGCUUAACAGGAUUCCAUGCAUGCACUUAUUUUGAUGAAACAGCCAAAAACAUUCUGUGAGGAAAUAAUUGUCCUCAGGAAAGGGAAUAAUGGUUGCCUCGGCAUGGGGUGGAGGCCCCUGAGUGUACUCUGCCAUGAGACCCCUUCCUUCCCACUCAGGAUGUAUUUCGAAUGCAGGAGCACCCAGGGAGCAAGAGAAGCCCUGCGACAGCAGCAAGGGACACUGUGGGGCUGCAGGGUAAGUAACCCUCGUGCUCCCUCACUCUUCAAAUGAGAGCCGGGGUCCUAGAAUUGGAUCCCAGACACCAGCAUCCUGAGAUCCAUGAGAUAAGGUGAGGUGGGGCUGGA